CCUUCAGUAACAAAACCCACUUGAAUAGAGCCAUAGUUCUCUGUGCCUCCUUAGAUGUCAUGAUUAAAUGACUGUAGAAACUUUCCCUCUCCCACUAAACCAAGUUUACCCCAUAUAUUUAGAGGAGUGCCCACAUUGGUCCUUCAUGUUUGCUCACAGGCCAAUAAGCCUAUGACUUUCACCUUGGAGGUAUGCCAUGUUCUUUUGCUCCUACCAAAUCUGCCCUUGGCCAAAGUAAUCUUCUCUCAAAAGAGCAAAAGUUCUAUUUUUGCCAUUUCUGAUAUUGCUUUCAUGAGAUCACUAGUGUCUAUGCCAAGAAUGCUUUAUUAUUUUCUUUCAAAAUUG
rnacentral:lncRNA from 1 species